rnacentral:lncRNA from 1 species
UUGCCAUACUAUUUUCCACAGUGGCUGGACUAAUUUACGCUCCCACCAACAGUGUAUAAGAGUUGCCUUUUCUCUGCAUACUUACCAACAUGUGUUAUUUUUUGUGCUUUUCAUAAUUGCCAUUCCAUGACUGGUUGAUUUCUUUACAAACUUUCCAGAAUAAAGUUCCUUAAUUUCCCCUGCUUUUAAAGAAUUGGAUGAAAUCUUAAGCUUAGCACAUCUAAUAGAAGUAGACCAUCAAGAGCAAGAAACAGAAAACUGAACCCCAUUUGAACUUGCUUCUCCUUAAGUCCUGUCCAAGACACAAAAGGAACAAAAAUGGCAUUGAGAUCCUGGCUGCUUAUGUCCAAGAUGAAGCUAGGACCUUCAGAAGCAAGCUCAAGAGAUGAUGAAUGAAGGAAGGUGGAGCUCCGAAGACCAUGAAGAACUGCUACAGAAGAAAACAAGCUUUCAAUAAAAUAAAAGAGACAUCAAUCACACAUUUUACCCAUUUAUGAAACAUGCUCAGGACAAGGUACUCAGACGUGAAGAAGCAUUCCCAGGAACCAUCUUGGAGAACUGGACUUGGUAACAUGAGAGCUGGGAAGUCCCAAUUCUUGGUCAUGAAGAGUCUACCACGAAGAGAAUUGGUUUGGAAACCAGAAGGCUAACUUUUACAUGAGGCACCAGGGCUAAUGCCCACAGAUUUCAGAGAGGACAAUAAUGGGUAUUUCUGAUGUUGAAAUCCUAGGAUUGAUCUGACAGCACAAACCAAAUGCCAGCAGUUUCCCUGGAGUUCUGCUGCGUGCUUUUGCCAACCCUGAUGAUCCAGAGGACCUCACAUCUCAAGUGGCUCCUAUGGUGAAGGAACUACGGAGUUUCUCUGAGCACCUAAGAUUACUCUGCUUCAAGGAACUCAUGAGUGUGUGGACAGAAAAUAUCUUUGAGGGAUUCCCAGGAGUGACUCCAAUGAAAGACCAAGAGAACAACAGCUCUUCGGUGUUAAAGCCACAAGACCAAGAGCAGACACAGCAUCCAGAAGAAAACCUCUAUUGGCAAGCACAAGACAGUGAUCACAGAUGUGGCCCCAGACGACGGAAGGACAGGAGUGCAGCACGCUGAAAUGUCGGAAUACUACACGCCUGCAAUUGCCUUUCCCUCUGGCAUUUAAUGAGAAAUAAAAAGCACAUGUGAAGGUU